rnacentral:rRNA from 1 species
AUAACCUACCUAUAAGACUGGGAUAACUUCGGGAAACCGGAGCUAAUACCGGAUAAUAUUUUGAACCGCAUGGUUCAAAGUGAAAGACGGUCUUGCUGUCACUUAUAGAUGGAUCCGCGCUGCAUUAGCUAGUUGGUAAGGUAACGGCUUACCAAGGCAACGAUGCAUAGCCGACCUGAGAGGGUGAUCGGCCACACUGGAACUGAGACACGGUCCAGACUCCUACGGGAGGCAGCAGUAGGGAAUCUUCCGCAAUGGGCGAAAGCCUGACGGAGCAACGCCGCGUGAGUGAUGAAGGUCUUCGGAUCGUUUAACUCUGUUAUUAGGGAAGAACAUAUGUGUAAGUAACUGUGCACAUCUUGACGGUACCUAAUCAGAAAGCCACGGCUAACUACGUGCCAGCAGCCGCGGUAAUACGUAGGUGGCAAGCGUUAUCCGGAAUUAUUGGGCGUAAAGCGCGCGUAGGCGGUUUUUUAAGUCUGAUGUGAAAGCCCACGGCUCAACCGUGGAGGGUCAUUGGAAACUGGAAAACUUGAGUGCAGAAGAGGAAAGUGGAAUUCCAUGUGUAGCGGUGAAAUGCGCAGAGAUAUGGAGGAACACCAGUGGCGAAGGCGACUUUCUGGUCUGUAACUGACGCUGAUGUGCGAAAGCGUGGGGAUCAAACAGGAUUAGAUACCCUGGUAGUCCACGCCGUAAACGAUGAGUGCUAAGUGUUAGGGGUUUCCGCCCCUUAGUGCUGCAGCUAACGCAUUAAGCACUCCGCCUGGGGAGUACGACCGCAAGGUUGAAACUCAAAGGAAUUGACGGGGACCCGCACAAGCGGUGGAGCAUGUGGUUUAAUUCGAAGCAACGCGAAGAACCUUACCAAAUCUUGACAUCCUUUGACAACUCUAGAGAUAGAGCCUUCC